rnacentral:tRNA from 1 species
CCGAGCUUAGCUCAGGUGGCAGAGCGAUGGUCUGUAACACCAUAGGUCACCAGUUCGACCCUGGUAGCUCGGA